rnacentral:rRNA from 1 species
AGAGUUUGAUCCUGGCUCAGGACGAACGCUGGCGGCGUGCUUAACACAUGCAAGUCGAACGGGGUGUUUAUUUCGGUAAACACCAAGUGGCGAACGGGUGAGUAACGCGUAAGCAAUCUACCUUCAAGAUGGGGACAACACUUCGAAAGGGGUGCUAAUACCGAAUGAAUGUAAGAGUAUCGCAUGAGACACUUACUAAAGGAGGCCUCUGACAUAAGCUUCCGCUUGAAGAUGAGCUUGCGUCUGAUUAGCUAGUUGGUGAGGGUAAAGGCCCACCAAGGCGACGAUCAGUAGCCGGUCUGAGAGGAUGAACGGCCACAUUGGGACUGAGACACGGCCCAGACUCCUACGGGAGGCAGCAGUGGGGAAUCUUCCGCAAUGGGCGAAAGCCUGACGGAGCAACGCCGCGUGAACGAUGAAGGUCUUAGGAUCGUAAAGUUCUGUUGUUAGGGACGAAGGGUAAGAAUCAUAAUAAGGUUUUUAUUUGACGGUACCUAACGAGGAAGCCACGGCUAACUACGUGCCAGCAGCCGCGGU